AUUGAACGCUGGCGGCAGGCCUAACACAUGCAAGUCGAGCGGAUGAAGGGAGCUUGCUCCUGGAUUCAGCGGCGGACGGGUGAGUAAUGCCUAGGAAUCUGCCUGGUAGUGGGGGAUAACGUCCGGAAACGGGCGCUAAUACCGCACACGUCCUGAGGGAGAAAGGGGGGGAUCUUCGGACCUCACGCUAUCAGAUGACCCUAGGUCGGAUUAGCUAGUUGGUGGGGUAAAGGCCUACCAAGGCGACGAUCCGUAACUGGUCUGAGAGGAUGAUCAGUCACAAUGGAACAGAGACACGGUCCAGACUGCUACGGGAGGCAGCAGUGGGGAAUAUUGGACGGUGGGCGAAAGCCAGAUCCAGCCAUGCCGCGUGUGAAGAAGGUCUUCGGAUUGUAAAGCACUGUAAGUUGGGAGGAAGGGCAGUAAGAUAAUACCUUGCUGUCUUGACGUUACCAACAGAAUAAGCACCGGCUAACUUCGUG
rnacentral:rRNA from 1 species